GCAAAACCUCCAAGUCCAGAAUUCAUGUCCAUGAUAUUACGGUACCUUCCUGUGUCUAUGAGUUUGUUAAUUUUCUUAUAAGCACUAACAUGCUUCUUCCAUUUCCUGUUGUCUUCCAGAUAUGCCUCAACGGGGACUCCAGAAACUAGUCCAUUAGCAAUUCUUGGAGGAACAGCAAAAAGUCUCUCAGGGAAUGGUUUUAGACCUUCAUCAUCACCAUUGCCUUUGCUUGGUGUUAUGCAUGCUUCCAUUUUGUUGUACCAGACAUCAUCUGGAUCUGUCGAUUUACAAAGUGUAGCUUCAGACUCUUCUUGCGUAGAACGGCAUGAGUCGGCAUCCAUCCUUUUCUGCCAAAUAGCAGUCUCACCCUUCUCAGAUUUCUUCUCCCAGCAAAGAAGUUUGGCAAUCUCUUCAAUUUUCCUUUGUUCUUCCUGAAGGUCCUCCAUGGGGCGUUGCCAGGCCUUGUAAUUAGUCUUCCAAUUGAUCGGAGGGCCAGAAAGCACCCAGUAGCCACCAGGUCGAAGAACUCUAUCAACUUCCAUCAUGAGGAUUCCAUCAGCAGCUCCCCAUGGGAUUAGACAGCGAGAACAAUGAGCCAUAUCAAAGGCCCUAGAUGGAUAUGGCAUUUUGACUGUUCCUAGGACGCCAAUUACAGCAGGUACACCCCUUUCAAGAGCAAACUGAACUUGAGCUUCA
rnacentral:misc_RNA from 1 species